UCUGAAAAGGAGGCACCUCGUGAUGGCAGA
rnacentral:piRNA from 1 species